AGUGAACGCUGGCGGUAGGCCUAACACAUGCAAGUCGAACGGCAGCACAGUAAGAGCUUGCUCUUACGGGUGGCGAGUGUCGGACGGGUGAGGUAUACAUCGGAAUCUACUUUUUCGUGGGGGAUAACGUAGGGAAACUUACGCUAAUACCGCAUACGACCUACGGGUGAAAGCAGGGGAUCUUCGGACCUUGCGCGAUUGAAUGAGCCGCUGUCGGAUUAGCUAGUUGGCGGGGUAAAGGCCCACCAAGGCGACGAUCCGUAGCUGGUCUGAGAGGAUGAUCAGCCACCCGGGAACUGAGACACGGUCCCGACUCCUAGGGGAGGCCGCAGUGGGGAAUAUUGGACAAUGGGGGCGAGCCUGAUCCAGCCAUACCGCGUGGGUGAAGAAGGCCUUCGGGUUGUAAAGCCCUUUUGUUGGGAAAGAAAAGCAGCAGGUUAAUACCCCGCUGUUCUGACGGUACCCAAAGAAUAAGCACCGGCUAACUUCGUG
rnacentral:rRNA from 1 species